CUCCCGGCCUGGCCUCCAGGCCCCCCUGGGGUUCCUAGACUCAGGCCACGCUUGUGCAUCACUAGGCCCGGGACUCAGCGUUCUUAGACGGGGGUCCCAGGGUGCCCCACGUAGACAGCGCCAUGGCCAGCGAACAGGGCAGGCGCUGAGCCAGCUGGCUGCAUGGCUCCGGAAGCCUCCCGGAUGAUCUAAAGUCCAACCUGAGUGGCCCUGCAGCCUGCUGGAGCCGGGGUUCUCCUGAAAGCAAAGGGUCACCUUGUGUCUGUGCUCAGACCUGGGAGAGGCUGGGCUGGGUGGACGCCACGUUCAAGUGAAGUCACACCCCAUCCUCCUCCUCUGUUGUUCUCCCCGAUGCCCCUGGAACUUUGGACCACCCAGAGGGAGGAAUAGCGACCACCGCGAGAAAGCGCUGAAGGGCAAGGUGGGCAGGUGGGGGACUCAGCACUGGGAGGGCAGGUGCUGCAGGGGACUGGGGUCCCACUGCUCUCAUCCCUGCAGCCCCAUAGACCCCCCAUCCAUCCCCUCUUCUCCACCCCACGGAUCUCCCUGGUCAGGAGGUCCCACCCCCACUCUCUCAUUCCAUUCUUU
rnacentral:lncRNA from 1 species